rnacentral:rRNA from 1 species
CAUGCAUGUCUAAGUAUAAGCAAUUAUACCGUGAAACUGCGAAUGGCUCAUUAAAUCAGUUAUCGUUUAUUUGAUAGUACCUUACUACUUGGAUAACCGUGGUAAUUCUAGAGCUAAUACAUGCUAAAAACCCCGACUUCGGGAGGGGUGUAUUUAUUAGAUAAAAAACCAAUGCCCUUCGGGGCUCCUUGGUGAAUCAUUAUAACUUAACGGAUCGCAUGGCCUUGCGCCGGCGACGGUUCAUUCAAAUUUCUGCCCUAUCAACUUUCGAUUGUAGGGUAUUGGCCUACAAUGGUAUCAACGGGUAACGGGGAAUUAGGGUUCGAUUCCGGAGAGGGAGCCUGAGAAACGGCUACCACAUCCAAGGAAGGCAGCAGGCGCGCAAAUUACCCAAUCCCGACACGGGGAGGUAGUGACAAUAAAUACUGAUACAGGGCUCUUUUGGGUCUUGUAAUUGGAAUGAGUACAAUUUAAAUCCCUUAACGAGGAACAAUUGGAGGGCAAGUCUGGUGCCAGCAGCCGCGGUAAUUCCAGCUCCAAUAGCGUAUAUUAAAGUUGUUGCAGUUAAAAAGCUCGUAGUUGAACCUUGGGUCUGGCUGGCCGGUCCGCCUCACCGCGUGUACUGGUCCGGCCGGACCUUUCCUUCUGGAGAACCGCAUGCCCUUCACUGGGUGUGCCGGGGAACCAGGACUUUUACUUUGAAAAAAUUAGAGUGUUCAAAGCAGGCCUUUGCUCGAAUACAUUAGCAUGGAAUAAUAGAAUAGGACGUGCGGUCCUAUUUUGUUGGUUUCUAGGACCGCCGUAAUGAUUAAUAGGGAUAGUCGGGGGCAUCAGUAUUCAAUUGUCAGAGGUGAAAUUCUUAGAUUUAUUGAAGACUAACUACUGCGAAAGCAUUUGCCAAGGAUGUUUUCAUUAAUCAGUGAACGAAAGUUAGGGGAUCGAAGACGAUCAGAUACCGUCGUAGUCUUAACCGUAAACUAUGCCGACUAGGGAUCGGGCGAUGUUAUUCUUUUGACUCGCUCGGCACCUUACGAGAAAUCAAAGUUUUUGGGUUCUGGGGGGAG